GACGAACGCUGGCGGCGUGCCUAACACAUGCAAGUCGAACGGGACCGCAAGGUUCAGUGGCGAACGGGUGCGUAACACGUGAGAAACGUAGCCAUCGGCGGGGGAUAGCCGGUCCAACGACCGGGUAAUACCGCGUACGACCUUCAGGUGGCAUCACCUGGAGGUGAAAGCAGCAAUGCGCCGAUGGGGCGUCUCGCGGCCUAUCAGCUAGUUGGUGAGGUAACGGCUCACCAAGGCAACGACGGGUAGCUGGUCCGAGAGGAUGACCAGCCACAUUGGGACUGAGACACGGCCCAGACUCCUACGGGAGGCAGC
rnacentral:rRNA from 1 species